rnacentral:rRNA from 1 species
ACUCAAUAGAUACCCGGGUAGUCCAUGCCGUAAACGUUGGGCACUAGGUGUGGGGGACAUUCCACGUUUUCCGCGCCGUAGCUAAACGCAUUAAGUGCCCGCCUGGGGAGUACGGCCGCAAGGCUAAAACUCAAAGGAAUUGACGGGGGCCCGGCACAAGCGGCGGAGCAUGCGGAUUAAUUCGAUGCAACGCGAAGAACCUUACCAAGGCUUGACAUGAACCGGAAACGUCUGGAAACAGGCGCCCCACUUGUGGUCGGUUUACAGGUGGUGCAUGGUUGUCGUCAGCUCGUGUCGUGAGAUGUUGGGUUAAGUCCCGCAACGAGCGCAACCCUCGUUCCA